rnacentral:rRNA from 1 species
AGGGAGCCUGAGAAACGGCUACCACAUCUAAGGAAGGCAGCAGGCGCGCAAAUUACCCAAUCCUAAUACAGGGAGGUAGUGACAAGAAAUAACAAUACAGGACUUUUUGGUUUUGUAAUUGGAAUGAGUUAAGUAUAAACCCCUUUACAAGUAUCAAUUGGAGGGCAAGUCUGGUGCCAGCAGCCGCGGUAAUUCCAGCUCCAAUAGCGUAUAUUAAAGUUGUUGCAGUUAAAAAGCUCGUAGUUGGAUUUCUGUUAAUAAUUUAUAUAUAAUAUUUGAUUAAUAUUUAUAUAAUAUUAACAUAAUUCAUAUUACUAAAUUUAUUAGUAUAUGAAAUUUUACUUUGAGAAAAUUAGAGUGCUUAAAGCAGGCAUAUGCCUUGAAUACUCC